rnacentral:lncRNA from 1 species
CACACACAAAAGACAGCGUGAUCUGCACUGCAGCUCUCGAUCACUCAGUGCCCUCUGCAGGACGGUAGGAGAACUGCAGGUGUGUGUUUUCCAGUGCUGAUCUGUGUGUGUGUGUGUGUGUAGAUGAGGAGCUCCAGCUCGUGUGGCCCCUAUGCAAGGAACAUUCAUCCAUCAGUUAACGCCGGUCCCUCCUGUAGAGGGUGUAGUAACAGAAGCUCCCUCGUCACAGGAUGUCCAUGUAGCACGGCAACAGAUCACCAUGGAAACCAGCGACCACAUUCAACCCUGCUCCUACCAGUCCAAAUAGCAUCCUGAAGAGGUGAAUGUACAUCAGCGUUGCCUUCUGAUGGACGCUCUGCACUCAGAUUAUGGACACGCAAUGAACUUCCAGGUGCAUCAGCUCUGCUCCACACAGCCAAUCCACACAGUGUGUGUAAGUCAUGUGACCCUCAGCCGGCGAACUGCAAGUCGAAUCAGUGCAUCGCCAACUGCAGCGUAUCAAAGGUCUGCCCGAGUCCAGAUGACGUCUGCGCCGCCGUCUGGUAUGAUGCACUCUUGAACAUGAAUCAUGCAGCUGCAAUGGGGUUUGUUCCAACACGCUCACAGACGUGAUGCAGCAUUCUUCACUUAAAGCAGUAGUUCACCUAAAAAUGAACAUUCGCUGAAAAUUCACUUGCCCUCAGGCCAUCUGAGAUGUAGGUGAGUUUAUUUCUUCAUCAGGUUGGGAGAAAUGCAGCAUUGCAUCAGUGUCUCAGCAAUGGAUGCUCUGCAGUGAAUGGGUGCCGUCAGAAUGAGAGUCCAAACAGCUGAUAAAA